rnacentral:rRNA from 1 species
GACGAACGCUGGCGGCGUGCUUAACACAUGCAAGUCGAACGGAAAGGCCCUGCUUGCAGGGUACUCGAGUGGCGAACGGGUGAGUAACACGUGGGUGAUCUGCCCUGCACUUCGGGAUAAGCCUGGGAAACUGGGUCUAAUACCGGAUAGGAGCCAUUUUUAGUGUGAUGGUUGGAAAGUUUUUUCGGUGUAGGAUGAGCUCGCGGCCUAUCAGCUUGUUGGUGGGGUAAUGGCCUACCAAGGCGGCGACGGGUAGCCGGCCUGAGGGUGGACGGCCACAUUGGGACUGAGAUACGGCCCAGACUCCUACGGGAGGCAGCAGUGGGGAAUAUUGCACAAUGGGCGCAAGCCUGAUGCAGCGACGCCGCGUGGGGGAUGACGGCCUUCGGGUUGUAAACUCCUUUCGCUAGGGACGAAGCUUUUUGUGACGGUACCUAGAUAAGAAGCACCGGCUAACUACGUG